rnacentral:rRNA from 1 species
UACGUAGGGGGCAAGCGUUGUUCGGAAUUACUGGGCGUAAAGGGCGCGUAGGCGGCACGGCAAGUCAGGAGUGAAAGCCCUGGGACUCAACCCGGGAACUGCUUUUGAAACUGCCGAGCUAGAGUGCAGAAGGGGCAACUGGAAUUCCCAGUGUAGCGGUGAAAUGCGUAGAUAUUGGGAAGAACACCUGAGGCGAAGGCGGGUUGCUGGGCCGACACUGACGCUGAGGCGCGAAAGCCAGGGGAGCGAACGGG